CACUAUCCUCCCGGUGUCUGCGCGCAUUGUUCUCUCAUUCCCAUCCAGAGAGAGCAGCUGAACACACCGAGAGGACCAGCCGGUGCGGGGAACAGACAGAGAGUACCGGACCCUCCGUCGCAGAAACUCCCGGGAGCCACAUGCAAAGCUCAGUCUGCAGUGCACACAGGAUACGCGGCACUCCGUAGUUACAUAACUGGACUACUUUUUUUUCUAUAAUUGUUGUGGGUUUUUCACGCUUUUUGUGUUGCACCAUCCCCAGCUAAAAUGGAGAACGACGAGAAAUAUCUCCCCGAGCUGCUGGCGGAGAAGGACAGCCUGGACUCGUCUUUUACGCACGCUAUGAAACUUUUAAACGCAGAAAUUGAUAGACUCCAGAAAGACGAGACUAAAAAGGAGGCGGACGACUACAUGGACCUUUUCACAACAAAGAACAUCAAACUUAAGGAACGAGUGCUCAUACCUGUCAAACAGUACCCGAAGUUCAAUUUCGUGGGGAAGAUUCUGGGACCUCAGGGCAACACGAUCAAACGUCUGCAAGAAGAGACCGGGGCCAAGAUCUCGGUGCUGGGCAAAGGAUCCAUGAGAGACAAAUCCAAGGAGGAGGGGCUGAGGAAAGCCGGCGAGCCCAAAUACUCCCACCUGUCCUUGGAGCUGCACGUGUUCAUCGAGGUGUUCGCCCCCGUGCCCGAGGCCUACCUGCGCAUGGCCCACGCCAUGGAGGAGGUCAAGAAGUUCCUGUUUCCUGAUAUGAUGGAUGAUAUCUGCCAAGAGCAGUUCCUGGAGAUGGGCUACCUGAACGGAGGCCAGGAUCACGGGGCCAGAGGCAGAGGGGGCCCUCCGGUCAGGGGCCGUGGACUCCCCCCUGGUGGAGCACACAGGGGUCGGGGGAUGCCUCCUCGUGGAGCUCCUGCCAGGGGAGGAGUACCUCGAGGCGGCCCACCCAGAGGUGGAGCAGUGAGGGGGGUCCCAUCGGGGCGAGGAGGACCCCCAGCAGCACCCUCCAGAGGAGCAUCAGCACCCCGAGCCAGACCCCCAGCUGCAGGACCCCCCCACAGGAUGGCACACCCACCCCCCCACCAGCACACCCCCACUGCAGCCUCUGAGGGCUACGAGGAAUAUGGCUACGAUGAGAGCUACACAGACACGGCCUACGAGUCCUACGACAGCUACUACAGUCAGCCGCAGGCAGAGCCAGAGUACUAUGACUACGGACACGGAGAGAGCACAGAGUCGUACGAGUCGUAUGGCCAGGAUGACUGGAACGGGACCCAGCGAGCGCCCACAGGGAAGGCCCCCCCCCCCUCCAGAGGUGCCAAGACGCCUUACCGGGAGCACCCGUACCGACAGUACUGAAGCGGACGCGCCGACCUUAACGCGUCGCCAUGACUACCGCCUGUCUCCCACGGCAGCUCUCGCUUUAAGCAGCCCGACAAAAGCACAGCUAUCGGUCACUGAGCGCCCGGAGACUGACAGUCUGCUGACGUGAGAACCAAAAGAGCCUCAGGGAAGAAGUACGGAGCAGCUCAGCAUUAAGGAGGUGGUCGGACGAGAGGAGUGACCCAAAGGGGGGGUUCUGGUGCCGAAUGACCCACAGGAUGAAGCUGAUAAAGUGUCCGAGGAGGAGAGGUGGCUCAGACUCAGCUGGGAACCCAGAAAACCCAGAGACAUUUCAUGUGGACUAUUUUCUACAUUUUCUCUAUGCUGAAUUAUGUUAUAUUCUGACAGACACACACUGACGCCAAGCUGCUUCUACAGACCACCCUCUCUUCCAACAGAUGUAAUUGUUCCAGUCUAAUUCACCAUAAAAUGAGCACUCCUGUUAUAGUACGCUGUGAAAUUGUCUUUAAUUUCUAUUAACUCUGGGAUUAGACGUGAUGAUAUUUUCUGCAAGGCAAGCAAAAUCCAUGCAGAAUCGUGUACAUGUGCAUUUCAUCUAUUUUAGAAUUGUUUUACAUUCUUGUUGCGUGUUAUUUGGUACCAAUGCCUUAUUGCCGAGUUAAAUUACACUCUGUGCAAAGAUGCCCGGAGAGAGUGGAUCACUAUCUCGCUGAGUUCACCGCGAGCUCUCACACACACACUCUCACUCUCACACACACCACCACAUCUUGGCAUAGCACGGCCUGUCCAAGCCCUGAGGAUAUCAAAUGCUAAUGCAGCGGCCCAUUUGCAUGUACUCACAUGUAGCCUCUCCGCAAAUGUGCAACACUUUCAAAACCAACGCUGGCCUGCUCUCAGCGUCAGCAUCUAUUUAUGAUAAUAGAGCGAGAUGCGGAGAGCUGCAUGUGAGAAAGGACGGAGGGUGAACACAGACAUUACUAACCACCCUCCAUCCAUCCAUCAUGUUCUGUUGAUUUGAUUCCCUCUAUGCCAUUUUCUGCCAUUAUCACUGAUGAUAUUAUGGCUGCCUGUGGUGCAGAGUUACAUUUAGAGGUCAAAACUAUACUUUCCUGUAUUAAAAACAAAUUUAUCUGCCCCGAUUCGCCGGUCAGAGGCUCCAUUUAGCUUAUUGAAAAAGCUAGCCGCUCAGAGGAUGCAACAUUGGAUAUUAGGAUAGAAACCAUCAUCUGGAAUGAAACGUCAACAGGCCAUAUCCAAAACAGAUCAUUUUUCAGUCUUUAUGUGCUAUUAUGUCUAAAAUAAUGAUUUCAGUGUCUCCUAUAAUCUAAUGAAAGAUAAGUGAUGGUGGUGGAAGCCAUCUGCUUUGUUGGAAUCGAUGAACUGUCAAGAGCGGGAGGGUGGAAGAGAAAGUAAAUGUUGCUGUGCCGUGAUCAAUAAAAGUAGAGUUGAAAAUGA